rnacentral:rRNA from 1 species
UACGGGGGGGGCAAGCGUUGUUCGGAAUUAUUGGGCGUAAAGGGCGCGUAGGCGGCUUGAUAAGUCAAAGGUGAAAUCCCUCGGCUCAACUGAGGAAUUGCCUUUGAAACUGUCUGGCUCGAGGCCGGGAGGGGGUAGCGGAAUUCCCAGUGUAGCGGUGAAAUGCGUAGAUAUUGGGAGGAACACCGGUGGCGAAGGCGGCUACCUGGACCGGUUCUGACGCUGAUGCGCGAAAGCGUGGGGAGCAAACAGG